rnacentral:lncRNA from 1 species
CCCCGUAAGAAUGCAGUCUAACGCCCACACAAAGAUGAAGCAAUUCAGGACUAUCACUCUUUGUUGCAUUCAGCUAACAAUACACACAUACAAAGGUAUUUGUGAGUAGAAAUCAAACUGGAUGGUCUUCGAAGGAUAGAUAGGAGGGGUUGAGGAUAUGGGAUUAAAAGCAAACAAAAGGUGCACCUGCCGCUCAUGGCGGUUCUUUGAGAAAGAGGAGAGAACCAUUCGGGAGAAGCUCCAGGCCCAGCUCCAUCCUCCCAGCAGCCACCACCAGUUAGCUACCAAGCCAACAGAAGCAGCAAUGAAUCAGCACAGAUGAGAAGUAGACAAAUAGAAACAGAUGGAAAGAAGCAGACGGAAUGAAGCAGAAGGAAGAAGCAGACGGAAGGAAACAGGCGGAAAAAGCAGAUGGAAAGAAGCAGACGGAAGAAGCAGACGGAAAGAAGCAGACGAGCGCCAACGUGUCCUCCACAAGGAGCAACACCACACUCACAGGAAGUUUCGAAAGCUUCAGUCGGCACGCGGGCAACUGUUCUUAUGUGGAUGUUAGGGGUGGCCUUGACACGACUACUAGAACUACUAGAACCAUUCCUUGAGUGCACUACAACUGAACAUCUGCUCUACAGGCCUACGUUACAGUGGGAGCAUUAAAAAGGACUUGACCAGUAUAGCAUUUUCAGUAUUGUUUUAUUUCAUUAUUCAUUUUUUCCCCCUUUCAACAAGUUAUUUUGACUAUUUGCUACCUUUAAAAAAAAUACUUUGUCUGUCAUUAAUCUCCUAAAGUUAUUCCAGUCUCAGACUCCUCUCUGACUGAACCAUUUUUAAUGCUGCUCAUCAAACGUGCUUACCAUUAGCUUACCUACUAGAAGCUUGACAAGAGACAAAUGAUAAAAAAAGAGGAAGGAGAUGUGGGCAGGGAAACGAGCG